rnacentral:rRNA from 1 species
UACGUAGGGGCUAGCGUUAUCCGGAAUUACUGGGCGUAAAGGGUGCGUAGGUGGUUUCUUAAGUCAGAGGUGAAAGGCUACGGCUCAACCGUAGUAAGCCUUUGAAACUGGGAAACUUGAGUGCAGGAGAGGAGAGUGGAAUUCCUAGUGUAGCGGUGAAAUGCGUAGAUAUUAGGAGGAACACCAGUUGCGAAGGCGGCUCUCUGUACUGCAACUGACACUGAGGCACGAAAGCGUGGGGAGCAAACAGGAUUAGAUACCCUGGUAGUCCCUGA